rnacentral:rRNA from 1 species
UCGAGAAUAAUUCACAAUGGGGGAAACCCUGAUGGUGCAACGCCGCGUGGAGGAUGAAGGUCUUCGGAUUGUAAACUCCUGUCAUCCGGGAGUAAGACCUGGCGGUAAAUAGCCGACAGGGUUGAUAGUACCGGAAGAGGAAGGGACGGCUAACUUCGUGCCAGCAGCCGCGGUAAUACGAAGGGCCCAAGCGUUGUUCGGAAUCACUGGGGGUAAAGGGUGCGUAGGCGGGUUGGUAAGUCGGAUGUG